UCGUUGCCUUGGUGGGCCGUUGCCCCGCCAACAAGCUAAUGCGCCAUAGGUCCAUCCCUGCGCUAUCCCAUAAAGGAUAUUUGGCAUGAGCUCCAUGCGGUGCUCAUGGCUAUGCGGUAUUAGCAGGAG
rnacentral:rRNA from 1 species